CCAGAUUUUGUUUAAAUUUGUGAUGACAACACUGUGCUUAGAGUUGGAAACUUGGCUGGCCAUGAUAGAUCAUACCUCAGUAACAAUAAUCCUUAAAAUCGAAGCAAACCUCCAAUCGCCCAAGAAAAUGCUCCUACACAAAGAAGUUAUUUUUACACAAAAGAACAAGUGGCACCUAAUUCAGCAAGUAAUUCAGGCCCUGUAAUCACAAGCAUCAAUUUGAGAGGAACUACACAAAAAGACCAAUUACCUUAAUCCAAAAGCAGCACCAGACAUACAAUGAAACAGAUGUCAACAGCAGAAAUUAACUCUGAUCGUUCGAGAAAACGAAUGUAUCGUUGAAGGUUUCAAAAUAAUGAUCUGGAUCCUGCAGCUUGCUUAAUGUCUAUGCAGAAGCUACAGAGCUCACAAUCGAGAAAGGAAAUAUAUCAAAGAAGGACUGCACAAAUACAAAAAUGUUGAGUGUUUAAUGAAGACAACUCAUGGUGAAUCUCGAUGGAGGCAUUUUACAGCAUUGAAUGGUAUUGAACGAUUCAGAAAUCAAAUUGAUAGCACUGAGAGGAACAUGGCAUCUUUAAAUCCCAUCAGGAGGAAGGAGAAGAGACUUACUGAAGUUGAUGGAAGAAUGUGUAGAAAUAGCUUGGAAAGGUG